GUGAGGAGCAUCUUGGGAAGGGAUGAGUCUCUGAGCUCUCAGUUGCAGAGUCCUACUUCAUCAUUAAUUCUGCAGUUUCUCUUCCCUGCCUUUCAGACCUUGCCUAGCUAGACAAUGGAAGAGGAAAGAAGGUGAUAGUGAUAAACUCUGCCUACAAAGAAAAAGAGAGAAACAUUUACAUUUUAUGUUUUCAAAGGACACGGACACAGUCUUUGUCUCCGUUACUCUGUGGAGCAGAGAGAUUUCUGAGCCCAGAACACCUACGACACCCUGAAAUUCCUCAGUAUCAAUAGCCCCUUGUCAAGGCACCUUUCGAAAACCGAAGUCUGACGACUUGCACACACAUACCCAGCGUGGACGUGUCUUCCUAUGGGGAGAGGACUCCGGCCCCUGGGGCAAACGGGCCUGGGACUGCCCAGCCGUCCUGCAGUUUGGAGCUGUGGUUCCCAAUGCUUUUCCUGCAGAAACCGGCAGAGGCAUGUGCCACCCACUGCCCAGGUACAGAUAUAGGAGAGUCUACAGAUUGCUUGCCUUCCCCCUCCUCUCCUGCUCCUGUCCCUUCCUGAAAGCACGUUGGAAUGGGUGCAAGUGAUGGUGACCUUAGCACCAGGAUAAUCUCCUGUCUACCGACUCCAAUUUACCUGAGAAACAAACACCCUAUGUGCAAACCAGAGAUGUUUCUUACUUGUAACAAAUUUUCUGUGGCAAACUUCCCAACUGGCUGAGAUAAUAUGUCCUAGCACUGUGCUUGGGAAUUAGAGCUGUG
rnacentral:lncRNA from 1 species